UCUAUAAAGCUGGGUAACGGUUACUCACCGUUCUCUUGCUUUGACGUCAGGGGCACGCCCCGCUCCCCGUUCGCCGCACUUCCUGUUUACUUUUGCUGACAGAGUCACUGUUGGGCGUCCGCAGCCUGAGAGGUGAGCCGCUCGCGGACCGCUACUGAAGCUGUGGGCCUACGGUGGUGGGGACUGGUGUCUUCAGGUGGUGGGAACCCCUUCCUGUGUGGCGUGCUGCUCAUCCCCGGUUGUUGUUUUUUUUAUUUCUUCACUCAGGUGUGUGUGAGUGUGAGUGUGUGUGUGUAUAUGUGUGUGUGUGUGUGUGUUCACGUGUGAGUGGGGUGAUUUCUCCUGGGCUCCUUUGUGACGCCUGUUGGCCCAGAGAGCCUCCAGCUCUGAUUAGUCCACAAAAACAUUCAUUGAACAAUCCAGUGUGCAUGUUUGUUUUUUAAAAUUGUUUGUAAAGUGAGUAUUUUUGAUACUGUUAAAUAAAAUUUGUAUUUUUUUUGCCUUCA